rnacentral:lncRNA from 1 species
CGCCUCCUGGAAAAGUAAAUGGACCCGAGAAGCCUGAUCCUGGAAAAGUAAACGGACCCGAGAAGCCUGAUCCAGGAAAAAUAAAUGGACCCGAGAAGCCCGCUCCCGGAAAAGUAAAUGGACCCGAGAACCAGCUCCUGGAAAAAUAAAUGGACCCGAGAAGCCCGCUCCCGGAAAAGUAAAUGGACCUGAGAAGCCUCCUUCUGCAAUACUAAAUGGACCCAAGGAGAAUGGACCAAAGAGGGGCGCAAAGGUAUGCUUCUUUUAGGAGAGGUGAAUAGCUUUGUAAUGUUUAGGAGUUCUACUAUUUGCUGUAGAUUAAGUUUUAUAUCAGAUCUAGUUUGUCCAUGCUUCAUCUGUUUCUCUGCUCAGGUGA